rnacentral:lncRNA from 1 species
AUGGGGGGCGGCCACUCCCACCUCGUCCACCCCGGCCACGGCGCCCUCAGGCGCGCGGCGUGCGGCUCCGCCGGGGCGGCGUGCGGCCUCUGCGGCGGCCGCGUCAGGAUCGGCGAGAUGGCCUACCGCUGCGCCGCCGCCGAGUGCACGGCCUUCUUCCUCCACGACGCCUGCUACCGCUACCCGGAGAGGAUCAAGGCCAAGGGCCACUUCUCGGCCGGCCACAGCCUCGCCCUCACCGCCCGCGCCGACGUCGCCGGCGGCGCCUGCACGGUCUGCAGCAAGUCCAGGCACCUCGCCUGCGGCACCGGCGGCUUCCGCGCGCACCCGCGCUGCGGCAACCUCCUGCCCCAGGCCGGCGCGCCGUCGCACCCGCACCAGCUCGUCCUGCGAGCGCCCGACGGCGGCGGCGGCGUUCGCAGAUGCGUCGAGUGCAACGCCGUCGCCGGCGCUGGCGCCGGCGGCGGCAGGCAGGUGGUGCGGGCGUGGUCGUACCAGUGCCAGACGUGCCCGGACAGGGAGCUCUGCCUCGCCUGCGCGCUCGGCCGCGACGGCGUCCCGCCGUGCUGCUGCUGUGGCCAAUGCGUGUGCGGCGGCGGCUGCUUCGUCGGCUGCGCCGGGUUGGCGGGCAACGCCAUGGGACACUUCAUCCAUGAACUCUUCCGUGGAUGCACUGGACUUAGUUUCAAGUCGGCGAUGGGCACUGCAAGACCACCAGCUUGAAUUAAUACGU